UUUAACUGACCACGGACAUUUUAUAAGCGCUGUAUCUUUUCUUUUUCAUAUAUAAGAUCCCGUUUUUGCUGAUGCAUUCUGCCUGAAUUCGGCAGGGCAGAUUUGGAUUACGCGCGGCGAUGUGAUCUCGGAUAACGGGACGGCUCUCAGCGCUCCGGUCGCAGUCUGAAAUGCUAUCCCGGCGGGUGAAGGGUAAAAGCUGCCUGCUUUAUACGCCACACUCAUAGGCAGCGGCGGUGAGGCCAGAAUAAAUGUCUGUGAAAUGACCCUCCUUCAGUGUGCCCCUGGUCCUCUCACUGAAGAUGCCUAAGGGGGUCAAAGUGCCAUGUGGCUGAAAACAUAAAAGUCCGUUGUGCAAUGAAAUACUGACACAGCAAGAAGAAAGAUAAAUCAAAAAUAAAAGGUGUUUAAUAAAAGGAUACAAUUACACAGGCCUUCUGAAGAGAUAGAGACCAUCUCCAUAUCUGUAUGAAAAGGACACCUGAGCAGGGAAGCCACAAGCGUGGAGGCUAAACGCCCUCAACCACGUACAAAGCGUGACAUCAGACCAAAGGAGCCAGAGGACUUAAAACCCAACCGGCUCUCGGCAGAACAAAGAACACAGACAGGGGGAGUGUGCAGCGAAAGGUCCAGAUCUGAGACGCUGACGUGAGCUGCUUGUCAAUGGCUUACAUCGGCACCGCUCAUGAAAAAGCAAGGCUAAUACUCAUGGACAUCAAACAAAGCAUCACUCUCACGAUUCCGAUCAUAAAAGUCAUUUAGGCAGCCAAUUCAAGUGGAGAGCAGUGAAAGAUAAGGGGACUCUAUGGGCACAGGAAUGGAAUGCAAGGGACUCUAUGGGCACAGGAAUGGAAUGCAAGGGACUCUAUGGGCACAGGAAUGGAAUGCAAGGGACUCUAUGGGGAGAGGAGUGAAAGAUAGAGGGACUCUAUGGGGAGAGGAGUGAAAGAUAGAGGGAUUCUAUGGGGAGAUGAGUGGGAGACAGGGGACUCUAUGGGGAGAGGAGUGAAAGAUAGAGGGACUCUAUGGGGAGAGGAGUGAAAGCAGGGGACUCUAUGGGGAGAGGAGUGAAAGAUAAUGGGACUCUUUGGGGAGGAGUGGAAGGCAGGGGAUCCUAUGCUUAGUUUAGGCUUCACUCCUUGUACACAAAGUACCCUAAAUGAAGCACCUACCUGGACAGCUGAUAUUUCUUUAGACAUCACUGUGGAUAUGAGGAAGUCAUUUUAAUGAAUAAUGAUGAUUGACACUGUCAUAAUGGGAGACACCAGGGCAGAUAAGGAUAUGGGAGGGCUGGGGGGAAUGAAGGUGAGAUGGAGGUAUAAGCAUUGGCGAUGAGUCACGGAGGAGAAUAGCUUUGUCUCCUCGCCAUUUUGUCCAGAGUCAGAUCAGAUCUUUGCCAACUUUCACAUCAAGUCCACAAACUGCUUUGCAAAAUCAGAAUCUUAAGUCCGCCUGUCAGGCAGGAAGGAAGAGGGAAGGAUAUGGAAUUGCUAACUAAAAGAUGUGACCCCCCCCACAGGAUGGAUUACUUCCUCAGCUACAUCCUGUGAAGUCAUAUUUUUACCACUCUGUAAGAACAAGGGGGAGGGACAAGCCAGCUGUCCACUCAGCUGACACGCAUGCAGUCAUAAGACGGAUGUGUUCACGGACACUGACAGGCCACCCCGCGGACUGUCCCUCCCCAUGCUCUGCCUGGAGGGGCUCGCGUCGCGUGCUGGAGGGUAAAUCGGCAUGGGCACGGACACAGAGCUCUUCCGAUAUCGGAUGUGGUGGACGCCCCCAGAGAGCCGUCCGAUGCCACGAAGCUCCAAAGGUCUCAUCACGCUAAUGAGAGGGCAGGGGACAAACGUGAGAGGCGGUCUGCAUGUUUACACAACACCCACCCAUCCUGAGCAAGCUGCCGACGCAGGCAACCCAAGAUCCACCAAGAUUAACCUUUUUAUAUCCAGCCAUUACACAUCCAGAGCCAGAUGGAUUACAGUUUUACACAAAAGAGCUUAUAAAUUAUGAGCUAUUACAGAAUGCGGAGAGACAGAAUUUAAUUCAUUUAUCCUUACUGUACUACUGAGAAAUGAGACAUUUACCAUUAUUAAGGACAGAAUAGGGUGUGUUUGGGAAGACAGGAUGGGAAGAGGGCCAGUUUUAUAAUUAUAUCAUUAAGUCCCCGUUGGGUUAUGACAUUGAUCAUAUGCUCAAGAAAGACAGAAUUAGCGAACCAGAAACGCAGUAGAGACAUAGUGUGCUCAGCAACGAGCUCCACUCGUUAAGCUAACGGGGAACUGGAGAGAGAGCUUGAUAAGCAAGAGGCACAGAUGGAGGGAGCGAUUCAGAAAUGAUGGCAGAGAAAAGGGGGGGGGAGAGAGAGAGAGAGAGAGAAAGAGUACUAAUGAGGUGGGAGAGAGCUAAGGGAGAAAAAGCAGAGCAGAUACAUGCAGGCGGCCAGAGUAGACUGGCUGCCCCCCUGCAUCUCCAUUCUCACAGUAGGAAAAAGCCGCUGUCCGGAAGUAAAAAGAGUGAUAAAAGAAAACCAUAAAAGAAGAGAUGGAAAACAGGAAGUUACGCCCAGUAAUCCGCUACAGAUGGAAACUGUCAGAGAGGAGGGAGGAAGAGGAGGAGUGGGAUAGAGUAGAGAGGGCUACAGGGAAGGAGAGGGCAGUACGGAGAAGGGAAGUACCAACGGGACAGAGAAAAGAGAGUGAACUAAUAACAGAACAGGGGACGAGAGAAAAGAGAGGGAAGUAACGACAGAACCAGGAAAGGGAGAAAAGAAGGGGAAGUAACAACAGAACCAGAAAAGAGGGGGAAGUAACAACAGAAACAGAGAAGAGAGAAAAGAGGGGGAAGUAACAACAGAACCAGAGAAGAGAGAAAAGAGGGGGAAGUAACAACAGAACCAGA